rnacentral:rRNA from 1 species
GAUGAACGCUGGCGGCGUGCCUAAUACAUGCAAGUAGAACGCUGAAGCUUGGUGCUUGCACCGAGCGGAUGAGUUGCGAACGGGUGAGUAACGCGUAGGUAACCUGCCUCUUAGCGGGGGAUAACUAUUGGAAACGAUAGCUAAUACCGCAUAAAAGUCGAUAUCGCAUGAUAUUGAUUUGAAAGGUGCAAAUGCAUCACUAAGGGAUGGACCUGCGUUGUAUUAGCUAGUUGGUGAGGUAACGGCUCACCAAGGCGACGAUACAUAGCCGACCUGAGAGGGUGAUCGGCCACACUGGGACUGAGACACGGCCCAGACUCCUACGGGAGGCAGCAGUAGGGAAUCUUCGGCAAUGGGGGCAACCCUGACCGAGCAACGCCGCGUGAGUGAAGAAGGUUUUCGGAUCGUAAAGCUCUGUUGUAAGAGAAGAACGAGUGUGAGAGUGGAAAGUUCACACUGUGACGGUAACUUACCAGAAAGGGACGGCUAACUACGUG